CCUACGGGCGGCAGCAGUGAGGAAUAUUGGUCAAUGGGCGGGAGCCUGAACCAGCCAAGUCGCGUGAGGGAAGACGGUCCUAUGGAUUGUAAACCUCUUUAGGCGGGGAGCAAUGCCGGGCACGCGUGCCCGGAGGGAGAGUACCCGCAGAAUAAGCAUCGGCUAACUCCGUGCCAGCAGCCGCGGUAAUACGGAGGAUGCGAGCGUUAUCCGGAUUUAUGGGGUUUAAAGGGUGCGUAGGCGAAUUUUUAAGUCAGCGGUAAAAUGUCCGGGCUCAACCCGGGCCGGCCGUUGAAACUGGGGAUCUUGAGUGGGCGAGAAGUAGGCGGAAUGCGUGGUGUAGCGGUGAAAUGCAUAGAGAGCACGCAGAACUCCGAUUGCGAAGGCAGCAUACCGGCGCCCGACUGACGCUGAGGCACGAAAGCGUGGGGAUCGAACAGGAUUAGAUACCCCAGUAGUC
rnacentral:rRNA from 1 species